rnacentral:rRNA from 1 species
GAUGAACGCUGGCGGCGUGCCUAAUACAUGCAAGUCGAGCGAACAGACGAGGAGCUUGCUCCUCUGACGUUAGCGGCGGACGGGUGAGUAACACGUGGAUAACCUACCUAUAAGACUGGGAUAACUUCGGGAAACCGGAGCUAAUACCGGAUAAUAUAUUGAACCGCAUGGUUCAAUAGUGAAAGACGGUUUUGCUGUCACUUAUAGAUGGAUCCGCGCCGCAUUAGCUAGUUGGUAAGGUAACGGCUUACCAAGGCGACGAUGCGUAGCCGACCUGAGAGGGUGAUCGGCCACACUGGAACUGAGACACGGUCCAGACUCCUACGGGAGGCAGCAGUAGGGAAUCUUCCGCAAUGGGCGAAAGCCUGACAGAGCAACGCCGCGUGAGUGAUGAAGGUCUUCGGAUCGUAAAACUCUGUUAUUAGGGAAGAACAAAUGUGUAAGUAACUAUGCACGUCUUGACGGUACCUAAUCAGAAAGCCACGGCUAACUACGU